rnacentral:rRNA from 1 species
GUUAUAUGGUCAAGUGAAGAAGCGCAUACGGUGGAUGCCUUGGCAGUCAGAGGCGAUGAAAGACGUGGUAGCCUGCGAUAAGCUUUGGGGAGUCGGCAAACAGACUGUGAUCCAGAGAUCUCUGAAUGGGGGAACCCACUCAGCACAAGCUGAGUAUCUUGUACUGAAUACAUAGGUGCAAGAGGCGAACCAGGGGAACUGAAACAUCUAAGUACCCUGAGGAAAAGAAAUCAACCGAGAUUCCCUUAGUAGUGGCGAGCGAACGGGGACCAGCCCUUAAGUUGAUUUGAGAUUAGUGGAACGCUCUGGAAAGUGCGGCCAUAGUGGGUGAUAGCCCCGUACACGAAAAUCUCUUGUCAAUGAAAUCGAGUAGGACGGAGCACGAGAAACUUUGUCUGAACAUGGGGGGACCAUCCUCCAAGGCUAAAUACUACUGACUGACCGAUAGUGAACCAGUACCGUGAGGGAAAGGCGAAAAGAACCCCGGAGAGGGGAGUGAAAUAGAACCUGAAACCGUAUGCGUACAAGCAGUGGGAGCCUACUUUGUUAGGUGACUGCGUACCUUUUGUAUAAUGGGUCAGCGACUUAUAUUCAGUGGCGAGCUUAACCGAAUAGGGGAGGCGUAGCGAAAGCGAGUCUUAAUAGGGCGUUUAGUCGCUGGGUAUAGACCCGAAACCGGGCGAUCUAUCCAUGGGCAGGUUGAAGGUUAGGUAACACUGACUGGAGGACCGAACCGACUACCGUUGAAAAGUUAGCGGAUGACCUGUGGAUCGGAGUGAAAGGCUAAUCAAGCUCGGAGAUAGCUGGUUCUCCUCGAAAGCUAUUUAGGUAGCGCCUCAUGUAUCACUCCAGGGGGUAGAGCACUGUUUCGGCUAGGGGGUCAUCCCGACUUACCAAACCGAUGCAAACUCCGAAUACCUGGAAGUGCCGAGCAUGGGAGACACACGGCGGGUGCUAACGUCCGUCGUGAAAAGGGAAACAACCCAGACCGUCAGCUAAGGUCCCAAAGUCAUGGUUAAGUGGGAAACGAUGUGGGAAGGCUUAGACAGCUAGGAGGUUGGCUUAGAAGCAGCCACCCUUUAAAGAAAGCGUAAUAGCUCACUAGUCGAGUCGGCCUGCGCGGAAGAUGUAACGGGGCUCAAACCAUGCACCGAAGCUACGGGUGUCAUCUUUGAUGACGCGGUAGAGGAGCGUUCUGUAAGCCUGUGAAGGUGAGUUGAGAAGCUUGCUGGAGGUAUCAGAAGUGCGAAUGCUGACAUGAGUAACGACAAUGCGAGUGAAAAACUCGCACGCCGAAAGACCAAGGUUUCCUGCGCAACGUUAAUCGACGCAGGGUUAGUCGGUCCCUAAGGCGAGGCUGAAAAGCGUAGUCGAUGGAAAACAGGUUAAUAUUCCUGUACUUCCAGUUAUUGCGAUGGAGGGACGGAGAAGGUUAGGCCAGCCUGGCGUUGGUUGUCCAGGUUUAAGGUGGUAGGCUGAAAUCUUAGGCAAAUCCGGGAUUUCAAGGCCGAGAGCUGAUGACGAGUUGCCUUUAGGCGACGAAGUGGUUGAUACCAUGCUUCCAAGAAAAGCUCCUAAGCUUCAGAUAACUGGGAACCGUACCCCAAACCGACACAGGUGGUUAGGUAGAGAAUACCAAGGCGCUUGAGAGAACUCGGGUGAAGGAACUAGGCAAAAUGGCACCGUAACUUCGGGAGAAGGUGCGCCGGCGAGGGUGAAGGACUUGCUCCGUAAGCCCAUGCCGGUCGAAGAUACCAGGCCGCUGCGACUGUUUAUUAAAAACACAGCACUCUGCAAACACGAAAGUGGACGUAUAGGGUGUGACGCCUGCCCGGUGCCGGAAGGUUAAUUGAUGGGGUUAGCGCAAGCGAAGCUCUUGAUCGAAGCCCCGGUAAACGGCGGCCGUAACUAUAACGGUCCUAAGGUAGCGAAAUUCCUUGUCGGGUAAGUUCCGACCUGCACGAAUGGCGUAACGAUGGCGGCGCUGUCUCCACCCGAGACUCAGUGAAAUUGAAAUCGCUGUGAAGAUGCAGUGUAUCCGCGGCUAGACGGAAAGACCCCGUGAACCUUUACUAUAGCUUUGCACUGGACUUUGAAUUUGCUUGUGUAGGAUAGGUGGGAGGCUUUGAAGUGGGGACGCCAGUUCUCAUGGAGCCAUCCUUGAAAUACCACCCUGGCAACUUUGAGGUUCUAACUCAGGUCCGUUAUCCGGAUCGAGGACAGUGUAUGGUGGGUAGUUUGACUGGGGCGGUCUCCUCCCAAAGAGUAACGGAGGAGUACGAAGGUGCGCUCAGACCGGUCGGAAAUCGGUCGUAGAGUAUAAAGGCAAAAGCGCGCUUGACUGCGAGACAAACACGUCGAGCAGGUACGAAAGUAGGUCUUAGUGAUCCGGUGGUUCUGUAUGGAAGGGCCAUCGCUCAACGGAUAAAAGGUACUCCGGGGAUAACAGGCUGAUACCGCCCAAGAGUUCAUAUCGACGGCGGUGUUUGGCACCUCGAUGUCGGCUCAUCACAUCCUGGGGCUGAAGCCGGUCCCAAGGGUAUGGCUGUUCGCCAUUUAAAGUGGUACGCGAGCUGGGUUUAGAACGUCGUGAGACAGUUCGGUCCCUAUCUGCCGUGGACGUUUGAGAUUUGAGAGGGGCUGCUCCUAGUACGAGAGGACCGGAGUGGACGAACCUCUGGUGUUCCGGUUGUCACGCCAGUGGCAUUGCCGGGUAGCUAUGUUCGGAAGAGAUAACCGCUGAAAGCAUCUAAGCGGGAAACUUGCCUCAAGAUGAGAUCUCACUGGAACCUUGAGUUCCCUGAAGGGCCGUCGAAGACUACGACGUUGAUAGGUUGGGUGUGUAAGCGCUGUGAGGCGUUGAGCUAACCAAUACUAAUUGCCCGUGAGGCUUGACCAUAUAACACCCAAGCAAUU